GGUAGACUAUUUACAAUCAAUUCUCAUUGAGAAUUAUAAAUAAAUUAUUUUGGCAUUGUACUGUAACUUGGAUUAUAAGAUUAAAAAGUUUUUCUUUUGUUUGGUAGACUAUUUACAAUCAAAUCUCAUUGAGAAUUAUAAAUAAAUUAUUUUGGCAUGGUAUUGUAACUUGGAUUAUAAGAUUAAAGAAUUAAAGUUUUUCUUUUGUUUGGUAGACUAUUUACAAUCAAUUCUCAUUGAGAAUUAUAAAUAAAUUAUUUUGGCAUGGUACUGUAACUUAGAUUACAAGAUUAAAGAGUAAAGU
rnacentral:misc_RNA from 1 species